AUUCAGUGCCCUAAGCUAAGCACAUCAGACUUGCAGAAGAAGCCUGCACCAGAGGAAGCUGAGGAUGACUCCGCAAAAGCCAGCCCUUCCACAUGCAAUUUCCCUCUGAUAGUUCCUGGGUACUGUUGCCACGGUGAUAAUGACUGUCCUGUGUCAUUUUCUAUCCACCAACAGUAAGAGAAGCUUUGCAGUUGAGAUAUCAUUUAACAGACAGAGUGGUUAAAAUAAAUAAAUAAAGUUAUUUAU
rnacentral:snoRNA from 1 species